rnacentral:rRNA from 2 species
GAGUCUAUAAUGCAGUCGAGCGAACUGAUUAGAAGCUUGCUUCUAUGACGUUAGCGGCGGACGGGUGAGUAACACGUGGGCAACCUGCCUGUAAGACUGGGAUAACUUCGGGAAACCGAAGCUAAUACCGGAUAGGAUCUUCUCCUUCAUGGGAGAUGAUUGAAAGAUGGUUUCGGCUAUCACUUACAGAGGGGCCCGCGGUGCAUUAGCUAGUUGGUGAGGUAACGGCUCACCAAGGCAACGAUGCAUUGCCGACCUGAGAGGGUGAUCGGCCACACUGGGACUGAGACACGGCCCAGACUCCUACGGGAGGCAGCAGUAGGGAAUCUUCCGCAAUGGACGAAAGUCUGACGGAGCAACGCCGCGUGAGUGAUGAAGGCUUUCGGGUCGUAAAACUCUGUUGUUAGGGAAGAACAAGUACGAGAGUAACUGCUCGUACCUUGACGGUACCUAACCAGAAAGCCACGGCUAACUACGUGCCAGCCGCCGCGGUAAUACGUAGGUGGCAAGCGUUAUCCGGAAUUAUUGGGCGUAAAGCGCGCGCAGGCGGUUUCUUAAGUCUGAUGUG